GCAUCGAGGAGUGGGAGGGGAAGAAGGAGGUGAUCGUUCCGGCGGAAGGAUCGGUUGAACGCUCGAUUAUGCUGAAACGAUGCAUCCUAAAAUUCAUCCGUUCGGGGCGAGGGCCGUUUCUCAAGGUGUCGAGCCACCGUGAAAGCAUUUCUUUAACCGUGCGCCCGUCCUCUUCUUCUCCGAGCAUUCUGAAGCCUCCCCUCUUCCUCCUCUCUUAGGGAGGAAGUUUUCAUUUCCCUAAAAGUCGAGCGACCCGCAGCAAUCGUCGAGUCUCGCUUCUUAGCAGGAAUUCGAGAUUAAAGAAUCUUCGCGGACCCGUGCAACGCGAUUCUUUCGAAUCACGAACUCGUCCCUAAAUAACGCUCCUAAAUAAGAAACGAAUCUCGUUGUCGUCUCGGUUCGACGACAUAAGUUUCUCGGUGAAAGAGGAACAAAUUUCUGAGGGAUAUUCUUCCAAUAUUCUUUGGAUCCACUAUUUUUUUAACCGAUUAAAUGUCGUUUUCCGCGUUACGUGUCGUUUCCCCUUGCGAGCAAAAUUUUUCCGUUACGUAUGAAUACAUUUUCCAUUUCCUUCUUGAAUGCGUGCUUUCUCGUUCUCUCCGUCGAUAAGAGAAAUAAUCGUGCUUGUCUAUUCUAAUGAAUAGACGAUUAACGAUCUGGAAUAAAAUGUAUUCAUUGAACGCUAUGAUUCACGAAUAAUCGUAGAUAAUCGCGUUCGUAAAAACACACACAGGAUCUUUUACGUAACAUUUUGUAAAUCUCAAUUGUUGGAAACAUCAUUUAUCGUAUUCGAAAAAUUAAAAAGACGAUUAAAAUCGAAUUUCCACGCAAAAAUGUUCCACGAACCUAGGAUUAAUUUAUGAAACUUUAUUAUUAUUACAAAGGUAACGACUGUUCGUUAUUUCAGUUGGUACAGCGAACACCGCACGUAUACUCAUUCUUCGAUCAUUACACAUUUAUUUCGCGGCCGUACUCGCCGCAUUAGUUCGCAUUAGUUAUGGAAAUAGGUAAGGUAAAAAAAAGAAGUAAAAAAAAAAAAAAAAGUUUUCUCCUCUGCUACUUUUAAAUUUCACACCCCGGGAAUGGAUUUUCCUUAAAUCGCAUUAGACCCUUUUAUAAUGUAAAAAGUUUUCGAAACGGCGGGUGGUCGUGUCGUGGAGAAGUUGGAAUUGAAAAUUCCACUCGACUUAUGCGAUCGUUUACGAUGGUGAAUUAGGGAUAAAUGGACAAUCUAGACGUGCGUGAAGUUCCUCGAGAGAGAGAGAGAGAGAGAGAGAGAUUCUUAUCGAUCUCGAUCGACACUUCGUCAGGGAUGGAAGAAGAAGAAGGAAGGAAGGAAGGAAGGAAGGAGG